CCUACGGGUGGCAGCAGUGGGGAAUAUUGCACAAUGGGGGAAACCCUGAUGCAGCGACGCCGCGUGAGUGAAGAAGUAUUUCGGUAUGUAAAGCUCUGUCAGCAGGGAAGAAAAUGACGGUACCUGACCAAGAAGCCCCGGCUAACUACGUGCCAGCAGCCGCGGUAAUACGGAGGGGGCAAGCGUUAUCCGGAUUUACUGGGUGUAAAGGGAGCGUAGACGGCAGGGCAAGUCUGGAGUGAAAGGCGGGGGCUCAACCCCCGGACUGCUCUGGACACUGCCAGGCUGGAGUGCAGGAGAGGUAAGUGGAAUGCCUAGUGAAGCGGGGAAAUGCGUAGAUAUUAGGAGGAAAACCAGUGGCGAAGG
rnacentral:rRNA from 1 species